rnacentral:rRNA from 1 species
CGAACGCUGGCGGCGUGCUUAAACACAUGCAAGUUGAGCGAUGAAGUUUCUUCGGAAAUGGAUUAGCGGCGAACGGGCGAGUAACACGUGAGGAAUCUGCCCUUACACUUUGGAAUAACUCCGGGAAACCGGAGCUAAUACCGGAUAGGAACUCUGGCGGCAUCGCCGGAGUUGGAAAGUUUUUCGGUGAAGGAUGACCUCGCGGCCUAUCAGCUUGUUGGUGAGGUAAUGGCUCACCAAGGCGACGACGGGUAGCCGGCCUGAGAGGGCGACCGGCCACACUGGGGACUGAGACACGGCCCAGACUCCUACGGGAGGCAGCAGUGGGGAAUAUUGCACAAUGGGCGAAAGCCUGAUGCAGCGACGCCGCGUGAGGGAUGAC